CUGGGCUUGACAUGUGGGUGACCGCCGUGGAAACACGGCUUCCCUUCGGGGCACCUUCACAGGUGGUGCAUGGCUGUCGUCAGCUCGUGUCGUGAGAUGUUGGGUUAAGUCCCGCAACGAGCGCAACCCCCGUCGCAUGUUGCCAGCAUUCAGUUGGGGACUCAUGCGAGACUGCCGGUGACAAACCGGAGGAAGGUGGGGAUGACGUCAAGUCAUCAUGCCCCUUAUGUUCAGGGCUACACACGUGCUACAUUGGCGCAUACAGAGGGCUGCGAUACCGCGAGGUGGAGCGAAUCCCUUAAAGUGCGUCUCGGUUCGGAUUGUAGGCUGAAACUCGCCUACAUGAAGGUGGAGUUGCUAGUAAUCGCGGAUCAGCACUGCCGCGGUGAAUACGUUCCC
rnacentral:rRNA from 1 species